rnacentral:rRNA from 1 species
CAACGCUGGCGGCGUGCCUAACACAUGCAAGUCGAACGCGGUUUCCCCGCAAGGGGAAACUGAGUGGCGAACGGGUGAGUAACACGUGGGUGACCUACCUUCGAGUGGGGGAUAACGUCCCGAAAGGGACGCUAAUACCGCAUAACAUCCUGCCUUUGAACAGGCGGAGAUCAAAGCCGGGGAUCGUAAGACCUGGCGCUUGAUGAGGGGCUCGCGUCUGAUUAGCUAGUUGGUGAGGUAAUGGCUCACCAAGGCGACGAUCAGUAGCCGGCCUGAGAGGGCGGACGGCCACACUGGGACUGAGACACGGCCCAGACUCCUACGGGAGGCAGCAGUGGGGAAUUGUUCGCAAUGGGCGCAAGCCUGACGACGCAACGCCGCGUGGAGGAUGAAGGUCUUCGGAUUGUAAACUCCUGUUGCCCGGGACGAAUGGCUCCAACCUAAUACGUUGGAGUGUGACGGUACCGGGUGAGGAAGCCCCGGCUAACUCUGUGCCAGCAGCCGCGGUAAUACAGAGGGGGCAAGCGUUGUUCGGAAUUACUGGACGUAAAGGGCGCGUAGGCGGCCUGUUAAGUCGAACGUGAAAUCCCCGGGCUCAACCCGGGAACUGCGUCCGAUACUGGCAGGCUUGAAUCCGGGAGAGGGAUGCGGAAUUCCAGGUGUAGCGGUGAAAUGCGUAGAUAUCUGGAGGAACACCGG